rnacentral:rRNA from 1 species
UGCCUUGGGCUACACACGUGCUACAAUGGUCGGUACAAAGAGAAGCGAGACAGCGAUGUGGAGCAAAUCUCAAAAGCCGAUCCCAGUUCGGAUUGCAGGCUGCAACUCGCCUGCAUGAAGUCGGAGUUGCUAGUAAUCGUGGAUCAGAAUGCCACGGUGAAUGCGUUCCCGGGUCUU